UUCCCGGUGCUGUUUCUCUGCCCCUUCCUAACCCCGCGCCUCGCCGUCGUCCUCGCCGACCCCUCACCUCUCCCCCAGGGCGCCACCCCGCCACCCCGCCGGCCUCCGGGGGUGCCGCCCGGUCCUCCAGCCGCCUCCACCCGUCCCGGCCGGCCUCUGUCCCUCCCUCUGUCGGGAGGUGGCUCGCUUUGCUGGUCUGUCCGCACUCUGACGCUGUAAACUGAUCCGCGCUCCGAAGCAAGGUUUUCCCAACUUCUUGGCGUUGGGGAGGAGGGAGGGAAUUUAUUCUCUGUAAAUCGAUUUUGUUACAAACAGUUUAAACUUAGGUUUCUGGGGAGCGCUGCUAAAACAUUCAGUAAGCAGCUUGGGCACCCGAUGUAAGGUUUUGAAAGAUUUGCUUUGGGCACGUUAGAUCCUCAACUGCCCAAAAAAACGCAGGUGCCACCUAGCAUGGUCCAGCGACUCCAGCUUGAGGAACCUCAUUUCUUGUCUUCAGUGCUCACAAGGGUAGCGCUGAUUGAUAGUUAUAUAUUUGCAUACCCGGUUACAUCAGAGUGAGGAAAUCACUGAUUUUUAAGUCAUUAUCAAACAUUCGUUUUAUAAAAUUAGUAAAAUCAGUAUGUCUAUGACACAACUGUUCCUCAAGUGGUGUUGCACACGUGCAUUGUGUAGCGAUUGUGCAGCACUUUGCCUGUGUUCGCAGAGAGUGGGUUCUAAUGUCCUGGGUGCUAAUUAGUAAGUAAAUUUGUGGGAAUUCUCCAGACCGCGUUUUUAAGCAGACCUUUUCUGUAUGGUUCUUCCUAUGGUUUUCUUCCUUUGAUAUGAGCAGGAUAUAAAGAAACUAAUUUUUAAAACCCUGCACAAUAUUAUUCAGGAAAAACAUACUGAUUCUGGCAUCUUGGGGUUUGGAGCUGGACUGUUUCAUUAACAGGUCACCUCUCGAAAGUUCUUUUGUUUCAUUGUGCUUCAGAACAAUGACUGUCAAAGGGAGCUACCUGUGUGCAAAUCAGGUAGUAAAUUUCCCAAGUUUCACAGCAGUUGUAUUUUCAAAUAUCUUACUUCCCUGAGUUCUAUGGGUUUUUCACUUUGGAUGAUAAUUUUUGGCAUCUGGAGCAUUAAACAUACAUUUAGUAUCUGUUACACAUAAAUCAUUCACGCGUAUGUUUGGCAGUUAUAAUCUGUGAGAUAGUCUUUCUUUCAUCUCAGAAAAAAAGAUAGUGAUGAGUAGCUCCUUUAAUAGAAUUAUCAGACAUGCAGAGCAGACCAUAAAAGUAAUAAGCUAUCGUUUCUCAGUAGUUUCAUUACAGAGUGAACUCAAUCCCGUUCUGUCCACUGUGGCACAAGUCCAGCAAAAUUUUCAUUGUUGCAAAUGCAGAUUAAAGUUCCCAGGUCCAGUGAUCGGAAUGCCUGUGAAUCAAGGGAAAAGAAGGCCAUCACUCUGAAAGACAACACAAGGCACGAUAAUAAAUCGGUGUCACUAACCUGGGUGCCCUUACAACCUGACAGGCUUUUUACAGAAGCCUCCUGCUUUGACUUCAUCAUAUUUUCCUUGGACAUUUUAGCAAAUUUGGUAAAUAUGGGGUGUUGAUAAACUAAUGUCUUAUUACAGGGGUUCCAUUAGCAAGUCUUGAGAUAUCUUGAGCAUGCAAGAUGGUGCUUCAACCCAUCUGAGUUUCUUUUUUUAUAAAGUCUUUAAUUUAUUACAGAUUUUACUCUCAUUAACUCCUUUGUGCCCAGAUUCCAAACUGUGUGGUGUAGGAGCAUAAGGAAUGGAGGAUGAUUGGACCAACUGAAAUAGUGAAGUAAAGAUCCUAACACUUUCCUCGGACCAUUCGGCUUAUCUCAGGCUGGGUAGCUGUUCUAUAGCAUAUGGUUCCUUAAUACGUACAAAUUCUUCUUAGGGCUCAAUGGUGGUUUUCUGUUACUGUGACAAAACACUUUAGAGAAUCAGUUUAUAAAGAGAAAAGGUUCAGGGGCUGGGGAUUGAGCUCAGCGGCAUAAGCACCUGCCUUGCAAGCAGGCAGUCGUGAGUUCGAUCCCCAGUACUGAUAAAAAUGAAAAAGACAAAAAAAAAAAAAAAAAGAGAGAGAGAAAAGGUUCAUAUCUGCUCCCAGUUUUAGAGGCUUCAGUCCAUGGUUAGAGGACUUGGUUUGGCUUAGAGGUUAGAGGUUUAGAGGCUCAUGGUUUAGACAGUUCAGCCCCAGUCCUCCCAGGCCGGGGAUGAGGUAGCACACUGUGGUGGGAGCUCGAAGUAGAGCAAACUGCUCAUCUCAUGGCAGCCAGGAAGCACAGGGAAAGAAGACCAGGACCCCACAGUCCCUUUCCAGGUCAAGCCCUUAGUGACCAGAACCCUCCCACUGCCCACCCACAUGUUCUGUCACUUCCCAGUAGCAGUGUGGGCUGGGGACCAAGAUUUUAACACUGGCCUUUGAGAGGCAGGGAUUCCAGAUCCAGACUGUUUUCAGACUUCUGUGCCUUUUGCAGCUGAGAACUUAAUUACUGUCUAGUCAAGUAGAAACCACUUUGUUUUUAAAAUCUGUCUUCUCCCUGUUUUCCCCCAAUUCCUGUCUAAUUCUCACUGGAUCUAUGGUGGGCCAUCUCACUCCUGUUUUCCGUUUAUUCUUGAACUGUUGAUUCUGUCGUGCUGCCCUGUCAGAGUGUAUUUAUGCAAGCAGUCUGUGCCUUUUUUGUGCCCUCGUCUCUGCUCUGCAGAGCAGGUUUUAUACAGGAAGCUCCAAAGCACCAGAUACGGAGAUGUGCCUGUGAGCUGCUUCACACUUCUUUUCUACGGAGUCCCAGGGAUUAUAUGGUCUCCAGAGUUAUGUGUCUGUAUGUAUGUCAUGAUUUAUGUCAGUGCCCCCCCCAUGGACUUGCAUUGUGCAUUGUGAUUGGUUCACUGUCUCGCGCUUUGAUUGGUGGUGUGAGUGCUAAACCCCGCCUAGGGGUGGAGCCAGGAUGUAUUGUAAUGGCAGGAAGAAGGUGUGUCUUGCUCUCUUGCCAGUUUCCGCCUUGUCAGUUUGCAACCACCAUGAACUGCGCCUGCCAUGCCACCCUGCCUUGGAGCCAACUGAGCAUGGACUGAAACCUCCAAGAAAUAAACCUUUCCUUUCCCAGCUUUGAGAAUCAGGGACUCACUGAUCUGAACCUAUCUACUCUGCAUCUCCACCCAGAAAUUCUUCAGUCAUCCUAAUGGACGGUAUCCCUGUUCAUUCCAAACCAUGUUCUCUGGCAGGUUAAUGUUGCUGUUUAUCCCAUGGCUAUCCUCUCACAUCCUGGGGUCCAAUCCUUAGCCACGCCCACCUCGCCCAUCCUAUCCUGUAGACCUGGCAUGUCCACUCAAAGCCCAUGUGUUAAAGACAGUGCUCAUCCCGAGGGCUUUAGGGAAGUUUCAGAAUCUUGAAGAGGUGUAGCCUUGUGGAAGUAGGACUUUGGGGGUGUGGCCUCAGAAAGCACAUUGAGACCUGACCCCUUCCGCUUUCUCUCUCUGCUCCCUCACAGUCAUGAUUUGUGCAGCUUGUCCCACCAUGAUGUGCUGCCUUGCACAGGCCCAGAGAUAACAAAGGCAAGCAGUGUGGACCGAAAUUCCCAAAAUUAUGACCCCAAGUAAACGUUCCCUUGAGCGUUCUGUCACAGUGUGGGAAAGCGAUCAGUCUGGUUAGUGCCCUCCAUCCAGCCGACCUUCACUCAGCCCCACAGGUCGAAGCCAAAUGGCCUCUGUCUCCAUGGUGCUUUAGGCGUUGACCUGGAACUUACUAACAUCUUGGGUCACUCAGCAUAAUUCACUCCAUCCUCUCCACCUCUCAGCAUAGAAAUCUGCCCUGCCGCUUCCAGGGCCCCAGUCUCUGUCCACCCAAGGACAUCGUGGAGACAGAAGUUUUACACGUAGACUUCAGUGUUCCACCCCCUUUCCUGCUUGCUUCUCCUUAUCUGGACCCACAUGAAUACCUCGAAUCUCUGACGUCAGUGCCUCCAGCUUCUGUCUAUCCGUGGGCUUCAGCUCUGUCCACUGUGUAAAGUUUGGGUCUGGAUCGGUGCUGCAGGGUGUUUCCUCCUCGUCUGAAGGGAGCCUUAAUGCCUCUAGUCAUCCUGUUUCUUAGGCUCAGCUUGUUCCCUUCGCCAUUCCUGUUCCUGCCCUUCUCUGGCCUCCUCCCAUUGUGUGCUGCCUACUGCUCAUCAGACAUGACCUCUUCCCUGCUGUGCUGAGACACUGGGACACCCCUGGGAACUGCCUCAGUUUCCUGCUCUCACCAGCCACACGGGGGUGACUUCAAUGAGUCUGCUCACCUUUCCCUUCAAGGCAGCCUUCUCUGGCCUUCCCUCCUCGGUCUCACUCUACAGCAUUGUCUACAGCUAAGACGAGUCAAAAGCUCAAUCCGGAAGUACAAGAUGCAGAAAUAGAAGGGAACAUGAUGGAAGGGAGGAAUGGUGGUGUGACCAUAGGAACUACAUCGGGUCCCUGGCUCCUUCCUCCCUGCUCUCUGCUUCCUGGCUGCCCUGAGAUGAACAGUCUUCCUCCACCACGCCUCCCUGCAGUUACAUUUCUGCCUCACCACAGUCAUAAACAGUGGAGCCCGUUUACCAUGGACUAAAACCUCUAAAACUGAGCAAAAAUAAACCUUUUCUUCUUUAAGAUGAUUUUCUCCAGUAUUU